rnacentral:tRNA from 1 species
AAAAGAUUAGUUAAAUUUUAUAUAACAUAAAUAUGUCAAAUUUAAAUUAUUACCUAAAAGUAAUAUCUUUUU